CAGCCUCCGAUCAGACGUGGCGACCCGCUGAAUUUAAGCAUAUUCGUCAGCGGAGGAAAAGAAACUAACCAGGAUUCCCUCUGUAACGGCGAGUGAACAGGGAAGAGCCCAGCGCCGAAUCCCUGCCCCGCAGUGGGGCACGGGACAAGUGGCGUACGGAAGACUCACUCCCCGGCGCUGCUCGUGGGGGGCCAAGUCCUUCUGAUCGUGGCCCAGCCCAUGGACGGUGUGAGGACGGUAGCGGCCCACGGCGUGCCUGGCAUGGGUCUUCCCGGAGUCGGGUGCCUUGGGAAUGCAGCCCAAAGCGGGUGGUAAACUCCAUCUAAGGCUGAAUACUGGCACGAGACCGAUAGUCAACAAGUACCGCAAGGGAAAGUUGAAAACUUUGAAGAGAUUUCAAGAGGGCUUGAAACCGGUAAGAGGUAAAUGGGUGGGGUCCGUGGCAUCCGCACAGAGGAUUCAACCCGGCGGCGUGUCUGGCCGUUGCCCGCGCCCGGCGGAUCUUUCCCCGCCCCACAUUCCUCCCGACCCCUCCACCCGCCCAAUCCCCCGCCGUCCCCCCUCCCCAGAGGGGGCUCCGGCGGGUGCGGGGGUGGGCGUGCAGGGAUGGGAGUGGGGUCGGCGGGGAGUGGGGUCGGCGGGGGACCGCCCCCCAGCCGGCGACCGGCCUCUGCCGGGCGCAUUUCCACCGCGGUGGUGCGCCGCGACCGCCUGCGGGACGGCUGGGAAGGCCGGCGGGGAGGUGGCUCGUGGGGACCCUCCGCCCUCCCUCUCGGGAGGGCCGGAGAGCCGGGGGCCCGCCCCCCCGAGUGUUACAGCCCCCGGGCAGCAGCACUCGCCUAAUCCCGUGGCCGAGGGAGCAGGCCUUCGCUGCGCUCUCCCCUGCCCGGCGCUCACACCUGCGUCGACUUCGAGAGGGGUCCCCCGCGGGGCGCGCCGGUCCCGUGUGGGCCGGGCCACACCUCCCACGGCGCGAACGCUCCCCCACCCCCGGCGACGGGGCACACGUGGGGCCGCGGUGGACUGUCCCCAGUUCGCCCCGGGCGGGUCACGCAAUCGGUGCCGGGGGGUCUCCAGGCGCCAGGCCAUGACCAAAGCAGAGCGAAGCGAGCGCACGGGGUCAGCGGCGAUGUCGGCCACCCACCCGACCCGUCCUAAAACACGGACCAAGGAGUCUAACAAGUGCGCGGGUCAGGGGCUCCCACAAAAGCCGCCGUGGAGCAAUGAAGGUGAAGUCCGGCGAGCAGCGCCGGCCGUGGUGGGAUCCCGAGGCCUCUCCAGUCCGCCGAGGGCGCACCACCGGCCCGUCUCGCACGCCGCGCCGGGGAGGUGGAGCAUGAGUGCACGUGAUAGGAACCAAAAGAUGGUGAACUAUGCACGGGCAGGGCAAAGCCAGAGGAAACUCUGGUGGAGGUCCGUAGUGGUCCUGACGUGCAGAUCGGUCGUCCGACCUGGGUAUAGGGGUGAGAGACUACUCAAACCAUCUGAGAGCUGGUUCCUUCCGAAGUUUCCCUCAGGAUACCUGGCGCUCUCGCACGUGAACCCACGGUUUUAUCUGGUAAAGCGAAACAUUAGAGGUCUUGGGGCCGAGACGAUCUCAACCUAUUCUCAAAGAUUAAAUGGGUAAGAAGCCCGGCUCGCUGGCGUGCAGCCGGGCGUGGAAUGCGAGUGCCUAGUGGGCCACUUUUGGUGAGCAGAACUGGCGCUGUGGGAUGAAACAUACGCCGGGUUUAGGCGCCCGAAGUGGCGCUCAUCAGGCCCCGGAAAAGGUGUUGGUUGGUAUAGACAGCAGGACGGUGGCCAUGGAAGUCGGAAUCCGCUAAGGAGUGUGUAACAACUCACCUGCCGAAUCCACUAGCCCUGAAAAUGAAUGGCGCUGGAGCGUCGCGCCCAUACACGGCCGUCGCUGGCAGUCGGUGACGCGUGAGAGGGACGGGAGUGGGUGGGGGUUUGUGGCGCACGCAGCGGUCUUCUCCCUCUCCUGGGGGGCGGCCACGGUCCUCGCUCUUUUCUCUCCCCGACCGCCACCCCCGUUGACGCUACGCCGCGACGAGUAGUAGGGCCGCUGCGGUGAGCCUUGAAGCCUAGGCCCGGGCCUGGGUGGAGCCGCCGCAGGUGCAGAUCUUGUUGGUAGUGGCAAAUAUUGAAACGAGAACUUGGAAGGCCGAAGUGGAGAAGGGUUCCAUGUGAACAGCAGUCGAACAUGGUCAGUCGGUCCUGAGAGAUGGGCGAGCGCCGUUCCGAAGGGACGGGCGAUGGCCUCCGUUGCCCUCAGCCGAUCGAAAGGGAGUCGGGUUCAGAUCCCCGAAUCCGGAGUGGCGGAGAUGGGCGCCGCGAGGCGUCCAGUGCGGUAACGCAACCGAUGCCGGCGGGAGCCCCGGGGAGAGCGCUCUUUUCUUUGUGAAGGGCGGGGCGCCCUGGAAUGGGUUCACCCCGAGAGAGGGGCCCGUGCCUUGCAAAGUGUCACGGUUCUGGCGGCGUCUGGUGAGCUCUCGCUGGCCCUUGAAAAUCCGUGGGAGAGGGUGUAAAUCUCGCGCCGGGCCGUACCCAUAUCCGCAGCAGGUCUCCAAGGUGAACAGCCUGUGGCAUGUUGGAACAAUGUAGGUAAGGGAAGUCAGCAAGCCGGAUCCGUAACUUCGGGAUAAGGAUUGGCUCUAAGGGUUGGGUUGGUCGUGCUGCGGUGCAAAGCGGGGCUGGGCAAGUGCCGUGGGUGCACGAGGCGCCGCCUACCCCCCCCACGCCCGGGGCACCCCUGCCCCGCCCCGCCCCCGCGGCCCUCCUCCGCCCCACUCCGCGCUUCUCGCCCCCCCGCUCUCCUCCCCCCCCUCCUCUACCCCCCGCUCUCCUCCCCCCCCCGCUCUCCUCCCCCCCGCUCUCCUCCGCCCCCGCUCUCCUCCCCACCCCGCUCUCCUCCCCCCCCCCGCUCUCCUCUUCUCCCAUCCCCCUUCCUGGGGGGGCAGGGGCGUGGAAGCGGGGCGGGGGUUGCGGCGGGGUCCCGGCGGUGUGAGAGUUCCCCGUGAGGCCCGCGGGCCCACGGGACACGGGCACCCGGGGGCCGGUGGCGGCGCGACUCUGGACGGAGCCGGGCCCUUCCCGUGGAUCUCCGCAGCUGCGGCGGGCGUCGCGGCUGCACCCGGGCAGCCAGGCAGGUGCCCGGUGGCGGCGGACUGUGGCGGUGGUCCCGUCCCCCGUCGCUCCGGUCCGCCGCUCACAGCCCGGCGCCGCCCCCCGCCGCCCGCGUUGGUCGGUGCGCCGGUCCGCCCCGGGCCGCGGUUCCGAGCGGUGCCUCGCCUCGGCCGGCGCCUAGCAGCAGAGUUAGAACUGGUGCGGACCAGGGAAUCCGACUGUUUAAUAAAAACAAAGCAUCGCGAAGGCCCGCGGCGGGUGUGCACGCGAUGUGAUUUCUGCCCAGUGCCCUGAAUGUCAAAGUGAAGAAAUUCACUGAAGCGCGGGUGAACGGCGGGAGUAACUAGGACUCUCCUAAGGUAGCCCAAUGCCUCGUCAUCUAAUCGGUGACGCGCAUGAAUGGAUGAACGAGAUUCCCACUGUCCCUACCUACUAUCCAGCGAAACCACAGCCAAGGGAACGGGCUUGGCGGAAUCAGCGGGGAAAGAAGACCCUGUUGAGCUUGACUCUAGUGUGGCGCGGUGAAGAGCCCUGAGAGGUGUAGAAUAAGUGGGAGGCCCCCGGCGCCCCUCCGUCCCGGUGUGGGGGCGGGGCGGGGGCCGCCGUUGAAAUACCACUACUCUUACCGUUUCUUCACUGACCCGGAGAGGCGGUGAGGCGGCGCGGGGGGGCGAGCCCGAGGUGUUCUCGCUUUUGACCCAAAGCGCCCGGACGCGCCGGCCGGGUGUGAGCCGCUCCGGGGACAGUGCCAGGUGGGGAGUUUGACUGGGGCGGUACACCUGUCAAACGGUAACGCAGGUGUCCUAAGGCGAGCUCAGGGAGGACAGAAACCUCCCGUGGAGCAGAAGGGCAAAAGCUCGCUCGAUCUUGUUUUUCAGGAUGAAUACAGACCGUGAAUGCGGGGCCUCACGAUCCUUCUGGCCUUUUGGGUUUUAAGCAGGAGGGGUCAGAAAAGUUCCCACAGGGAUAACUGGCUUGUGGCGGACAAGCGUUCGUAGCGACGUCGCUUUUUUUUUUAAAGUGCUUUUUUUUUUUUUUUUUUUUUAAUGACAGUCACAGAGAGGGAGAGAGGCAGAGGGAGAAGCAGGCUCCAUGCACCGGGAGCCCGACGUGGGAUUCGAUCCCGGGUCUCCAGGAUCACGCCCUGGGCCAAAGGCAGGCGCCAAACCGCUGCGCCACCCAGGGAUCCCGCGCCGUCGCUUUUUGAUCCUUCGAUGUCGGCUCUUCCUAUCAUUGUGAAGCAGAAUUCACCAAGCGUUGGAUUGUUCACCCACUAAUAGGGAACGUGAGUUGGGUUUAGACCGUCGUGAGACAGGUUAGUUUUACCCUAUUGAUGGAUGAUGUGUUGUUGCCAUGGUAAUCCUGCUCAGUACGAGAGGAACCGCAGGUUCAGACAUUUGGUGCAUGUGCUUGGCUGAGGAGCCAAUGGGGCGAAGCUACCAUCUGUGGGAUUAGGACUGAACGCCUCUAAGUCAGAAUCCCGCCCAGGCGGAACGAUAGGGCAGCGCCGCGGGGCCUCGGUUGGCCUCAGAUAGCCGGUCCCCCGCCGUCCCCGCCGGCGGGCCGCCGCGCGUCGGGACCGGGGACCGGUGCGGAGAGCCCCUCGUCCCGGGAAACGGGGCGCGGCCGGAAAGGGGGCCGCCCCCUCGCCCGUCACGCAACGCACAUUCAUGGGGAACCUGGUGCUAAACCAUUCGUAGACGACCUGCUUCUGGGUCGGGGUUUCGUACGUAGCAGAGCAGCUCCGUCGCUGCGAUCUAUUGAAAGUCAGCCCUCGACACAAGGGUUUGU